rnacentral:rRNA from 1 species
UACACGACCGUACCGCAAACCGACACUGGUGCGCGAGAUGAGUAUUCUAAGGCGCUUGAGAGAACUCAGGAGAAGGAACUCGGCAAAUUGACACCGUAACUUCGGAAGAAGGUGUGCCUUUAGUAGGUGAACCAUUUACUUGGGGAGCCCAAUGAGGCUGCAAAAAAUCGGUGGCUGCAACUGUUUAUUAAAAACACAGCACUCUGCUAAGACGAAAGUCGACGUAUAGGGUGUGACGCCUGCCCGGUGCUGGAAGAUUAAAUGAUGGGGUGCAAGCUCUUGAUUGAAGUCCCAGUAAACGGCGGCCGUAACAAUAACGGUCCUAAGGUAGCGAAAUUCCUUGUCGGGUAAGUUCCGACCUGCACGAAUGGCGUAAUGAUGGCCACACUGUCUCCUCCUGAGACUCAGCGAAGUUGAAAUGUUUGUGAUGAUGCAAUCUCCCCGCGGAAAGACGGAAAGACCCCAUGAACCUUUACUGUAGCUUUGUAUUGGACUUUGAACAGAUCUGUGUAGGAUAGGUGGGAGGCUUUGAAGUGUGGUCGCUAGAUCGCAUGGAGCCAACGUUGAAAUACCACCCUGGUGUGUUUGAGGUUCUAACCUAGGUCCAUUAUCUGGAUCGGGGACAGUGCAUGGUAGGCAGUUUGACUGGGGCGGUCUCCUCCCAAGGUGUAACGGAGGAGUUCGAAGGUACGCUAGGUACGGUCGGACAUCGUGCUAAUAGUGCAAUGGCAUAAGCGUGCUUAACUGCGAGACUGACAAGUCGAGCAGAUGCGAAAGCAGGACAUAGUGAUCCGGUGGUUCUGUAUGGAAGGGCCAUCGCUCAACGGAUAAAAGGUACUCUGGGGAUAACAGGCUGAUACCGCCCAAGAGUUCAUAUCGACGGCGGUGUUUGGCACCUCGAUGUCGGCUCAUCUCAUCCUGGGGCUGUAGCCGGUCCCAAGGGUAUGGCUGUUCGCCAUUUAAAGAGGUACGUGAGCUGGGUUUAAAACGUCGUGAGACAGUUUGGUCCCUAUCUUCCGUGGGCGCUGCAGAUUUGAGGAAGCCUGCUCCUAGUACGAGAGGACCGGAGUGGACGAACCUCUGGUGUAUCGGUUGUCACGCCAGUGGCAUUGCCGAGUAGCUAAGUUCGGAAGAGAUAACCGCUGAAAGCAUCUAAGCGGGAAACUCGUUUCAAGAUUAGAUCUGCCGGGGCCUUGAGCCCCCUAAAGAGUCGUUCAAGACCAGGACGUUGAUAGGUCAGGUGUGGAAGUG